rnacentral:precursor_RNA from 1 species
CCGCAAGAAGCAUACCGCGUGUCGAUGAGAUAUGUUUGAUAUUCUUGGUUG